AGGCUAGAGUACUGUAGAGGGGGGUAGAAUUUCAGGUGUAGCGGUGAAAUGCGUAGAGAUCUGAAGGAAUACCGGUGGCGAAGGCGGCCCCCUGGACAGAUACUGACACUCAGAUGCGAAAGCGUGGGGAGCAAACAGGAUUAGAUACCCUGGUAGUCCACGCCGUAAACGAUGUCUACUUGGAGGUUGUGGCCUUGAGCCGUGGCUUUCGGAGCUAACGCGUUAAGUAGACCGCCUGGGGAGUACGGUCGCAAGAUUAAAACUCAAAUGAAUUGACGGGGGCCCGCACAAGCGGUGGAGCAU
rnacentral:rRNA from 1 species